AAGCAUAUAAUUGAAAUAAUUUAUUUACCACUAGAGCACCACAAAAACAGACAUACACUGUGUUAAAAUACAAGGUAAUCGGUCAUCAAAAUACAACACAGCUGUUCUCAUGUUCCUUUUAUAUUUUAAAACCAUGCCGUCCAUACAACUGUAUUGCUGCUAAACACACAAAAAAUGCUGUCCUAACCCAACCAGCUAAGUGCUGAGAUGUGUUCCUCAGCCCCACCCCUUCCUUUGAGUCUGAUCCUGUGAGGUACUGAGUAUCUCCUGCCCAGUGCUGAGUAUCCUUAAUUCCUCACUGUCUUCACUGCAAGCUGAGAAGAUCAGCACCUCACCGAGGGGCCCCAUAGUAUGCGCCUCUGCGCCUCUUUAUUUCCACUUACACCUCAUUCUGAGGCUUUACGUUGAACUUAAAUGGUGCCAGGGCCUCCCUCUCCACAGGGGUGAGUUUCAUCCCAAAGGAGCUCUGUCUGCCCUUUGUAGGAUCAGGCCCAAUGUCCUUAUUCACUAACGGGAACUAUAUGUCUAAAAAUAAACCAAAAAAGAAAAGAUUUAGGAGCUGUAAAAUAGAACAUUUCAAAUACUAUCAGUGCAUUUCUGAGGAAAAAAUACAAACAAAACUUCAUCCAAUUUGGGGGAAAUGACCUAACGCAAUUAUAAGGCAUUAUUCUCAGAUUUUUUUAAAACAUACCCACCUCCCUGGCCCAAACUUUUGCCUGUGUCCAGCACAUAGUGAGUGUAGUUGUACACUAAUAGUAUCUCAGAUCCCGCUAUUUCAAAUCAUCAAGCUUCAAUACCAGGUUUUUGCCACAUUUCAAUUGAUAAUGGCAAGUUGGGUUUUUUUUAAAAUUGUCCAAUCCUUGUCCCCUCCUCCCCACCCAUAGAAUUGAAGCUAAUAAAACAGAUUAGGGCUAAAUGCUGCAAACGCCAGCAGUCACGGUGCUUUCUACCUCAAAGAGUUUUAUUUCCACAGGUCUCUUCGGGAUAGUAAACAUGGCUUCUGCAAGUGUUUGUAGGAUUGGACCCUUCAUUUGUUAAUUUCAAUUUGCUAAAUAAAUAGUAAAUAAUAAUAAGAGAAGAACCACACACACAUACAAACCCUCAUAUACCUCCUCUGCACUGAGACAAUGGGCAGGGUCAGAUUAUUCACAGGGCUACAUUUUGAUCUCAGCAAUGAGCGCAGGCUCCCAGUGAAGUUAAUGGGAACGGUCUGUGCAAAUCAAAGGAGCAGAAUCCAGACCUUGAGCCUGAUUCUCCACUAUAUUACUUCAGUUUUACUGCAGUGUUGCUCCACUAAAGUCAAUGAAGUUACACUAUCCCAAAUUCAAGUUAAUACAGUGGAGGAUCAGGCCCCUAAUGUUUUGUUUUAAAGCUUCAGGGGUAAAAUCUCAGCCCCAUUUCAGUCAAUGGCAAAACUCCCAUCAACUUAAAUGGAGCCAGGAUCUCACCCUAGGUCCUGUUCCUGUAUUGUAUUUGAGGGAACAUGCCCUUUACAUCCAGUUGUCAUAUUUCCUUGCACAGUCGUCAAGCUUUGCCAUUCAGAACAAUUUAUAAUGUAAAAUCAAUUGAACUGUUCCUUUUCAUGUUUUUACACAUCUUUGUUCUAGGUUAGGGAUCUGUUGCUAUUCAUUUAUUUUUAAACAACGUGUACCAUGUAGAUCUUUUUUUACUCUCUCUAGAGUACUCUGAAGAUUGUUAGGGCCCAAACGCGUUUCCUAGGAGACUUAUGUUCCUUUUUUUUUUUUUAGAAAGAGGAAAAAGAAAAGGUGUUAUCUGAAGAAGAAGAAAAAAAAAAGAUUAAACAAAGACACAGAGCCCGAUCCUCCAAAUCCUUCCACAUGCCAACACUCUCACUAGGCCCCAUCUGCUACCACAGAAGUCAAUGGCAAAACUUCUGCUGACCUCUGUGGGAGAAGGAUCACUCCCAUAGAAUAACUGCAGGUGAAAAAUCAUUGCUGUGACAAAGGCCAACACAAGGCCCCUAAACUGAUUAAGUCCCACUCAAGCCUUGUUUUUAGGGCUUCAGUGAUGCAUGUGCUUUGUCUCAGCCCUCUGCACAGUAGUGAAUUUCACUGCGUGUAAGGAGUUUGUAGGGCUGGGCCCUAGCCUCAUCUCACUUAGGCUGUGAAAUCUUUUCUUGAAAAUCUUGCUCCUCUAUCCAUCCGUUUGACUGCCGAGAAAAUGAAACAAAACUGGGUUUAAAAUGCUGAGUCGCAUUGCGAUUCACUGCUACAAAUGUGGAUGAACUAGGAUGUGGGUGAGGGGAGGAGGAGACUAUUUUAAUCCAUCCUUUUUGUAAAACAAAAAACAAAUGGAGUCAGGUAGCUUAUGUCAUAAUGAUGAACAAUAUACAAAGCACAUGUAUAGCAAAUUAUUAUAAAACAUGUAUUUGUAGUGCAAGUCAAAAUAUAGGGACUCUACUCAUACUGGCCAGCUAGAGGGAAACACAUGACUGAGUGAUCAAAAAGAGCCCCAAAUUCAAAUUCAAACUCAUGAGAGUUGACAGUAUUACAGAAUACAAAAAUAUGGUGAAAAUUUACACAUUACACAUAAAGUACUUAAUUUUUUUAAUAGUUUACAAUAGAGAUCUACAGAUAUGUUUCCAAUUAAGCUGGCUUUUACUACCCACCUAUUGUAAUACUAUAGGUAUGGUUACAUAUACCAAAAGAACAAAACAUCCCAUAGCAUAGCUAUACAGCAACAUAUUAAGGUCUGAAGAUUAGACCAGUACAUGUUAAAUAUUUCACUGGUUUACUAAACUGACAUUUUAAUCAUUUACA